AUCCUUUUGUAGUUCAUAAGCGUGUUUGAGUUUUCACACGUGUGAGAUAUGCCUCCCUCAAACCUUGUUACUACAUUAGCACAUUAACCAUGAGACA
ensembl:snoRNA